AACAUCGCGCACCUGCGGGAACCUGCGGAAGGAUCAUUACAGAGUUGCAAAACUCCCCAAACCAUUGUGAACCUUACCUUCAAACGUUGCUUCGGCGGGCGGGCCACAGCGCCCCCCGGGCCCCCCCAGCGGGGGCGCCCGCCGGAGGAUACCCAAACUCUUGAUACUUUAUGGCCUCUCUGAGUCUUCUGUACUGAAUAAGUCAAAACUUUUAACAACGGAUCUCAGAUCGGAAGAGCA
rnacentral:misc_RNA from 1 species